CCUCGGCUCCUCAUCCCGGCGGCCCAGCCGCACAGGCCAGUCCGACUUCCAGCCCACUGACCGAGUCCCAGCCACCCCAGACGGAGCCUCGGAAAUCCCAGCCUCAUCCACAGCUAAACAAGUCCCAGUCCUUGACAAAUGCCUUCAGCUUCACUGAGUCCUCCUUCUUCCGGUCAUCAACGAAUGAGGACGAAGCCAAAGCCGAGACCAUCCGCAACUUGAGGAAAUCCUUUGCCAGCCUCUUUUCAGAUUAAGCCCUUGGAUUCCCAGAUCUCUCCCAACCAAUGUGUCUAGCACCUCCGACAGCUCCCAGCCCUGCUUAGUGAUAAUAUGACCAUCAUUCUGUGCCCCUCCCCCCUUCUCUGUUCCAUCCUUUGUAUCAAGCAAUUUAUGUAGCUUUUAAAGGACCCUGAGAGGGCAGGCACAUGUCAGUAGAGAGGAAAGCACAGCCUUUCCCAUUACCCUGAAACCUCUAUCUCAAGGUCCCAGUUAGCUGUGAUUUUGGUGGCCUUAUUGUGUUGCUCAAACAUAUCUGACUCUGUCCCCUGUGAUACCAGGAGAGUUUUCCUGGAGGGCUCUGGGUGGCUUUAGCUAGUUCAGAUGCUGUAUAGUUGCAUGCUUCUUUUCAGUUGUUUAUUUUAAUUUUAUUUUCUUUAUAUUUUGUUUUAGUCAAUACUUUAGUCGAUACUUUAUAUGUGGAGAGUAAACAGAAAUAUUCUACCCUCAGAUUCUUAGGAACCCAUUCAUACCUAAUUCUCCUGUCAGUUUAAUUGUGAAAAAAAGAAAAGAAACCAGUUUCCUUGUGACCUUAAGUGUCUAUCACCAGCUACAGUGUCCUGUUGUGUUUCUAAAGCAUUAUCAGCCUCCUGAAAUGAAAACCCAUGGCUUACACGUUCUCCUUUUUUCUUUCCUGGCCCAUGUGCUGGGAGAACCAAGCUUUGAAGCUACACUGUGAAGAAAAAUGCAUGGCAGUGUAAUAGCACCAAGGCUAGUUCUGUGUUCACCUCCAAAAUAAAUGCUAAGCCGUGUGGUUAACAACUGAAAAAGCAA